rnacentral:rRNA from 1 species
UGAGGAAUAUUGGUCAAUGGACGCAAGUCUGAACCAGCCAAGUAGCGUGCAGGAUGACGGCCCUAUGGGUUGUAAACUGCUUUUAUAUGGGGAUAAAGUGGGGAACGUGUUCCCUUUUGCAGGAACCAUAUGAAUAAGGACCGGCUAAUUCCGUGCCAGCAGCCGCGGUAAUACGGAAGGUUCGGGCGUUAUCCGGAGUUAUUGGGUUUAAAGGGAGCGUAGGCCGUUUGGUAAGCGUGUUGUGAAAUGUAGGAGCUCAACUUCUAGAUUGCAGCGCGAACUGUCAGACUUGAGUGCGCACAACGUAGGCGGAAUUCAUGGUGUAGCGGUGAAAUGCUUAGAUAUCAUGAAGAACUCCGAUUGCGAAGGCAGCUUACGGGAGCGCAACUGACGCUGAAGCUCGAAGGUGCGGGUAUCGAACAGG